AUAGAUAUUUCCCUUUUCUUUUAGUGCCCUUCUUGGGAACAUAGCAACUUGGAAGAAAACUUGGCAUGUCUAAGGUCUUUAAAGAGGAAGGGAUGCAUACUUCUUUGCCUCACUUUGGCUGCCUACAUAU
rnacentral:snoRNA from 1 species